CCUACGGGAGACAGCAGUGAGGAAUAUUGGUCAAUGGGCGGGAGCCUGAACCAGCCACGUCGCGUGAAGGAAGAAGGUACUUAGUAUUGUAAACUUCUUUUGUCGGGGAACAAAGGCGGAGACGCGUCUCCGGAUGAGUGUACCCGAAGCAAAAGCAUCGGCUAACUCCGUGCCAGCAGCCGCGGUAAUACGGAGGAUGCGAGCGUUAUCCGGAUUUAUUGGGUUUACAGGGUGCGCAGUCGGGAGAUCAAGUCAGCGUUAAAAUGGCGGGGCUCAACCGCGGCCGGCCGUUGAAACUGGUUUUCGAGAGUGGGAUAGAAGUAUGCGGAAUUCGUGGUGUAGCGGUGAAAUGCAUAGAUAUCACGAAGAACUCCGAUUGCGAAGGCAGCAUACCGGCUCCAUACUGACGCUGAGGCACGAAAGCGUGGGGAGCGAACAGGAUUAGAUACCCGAGUAGUC
rnacentral:rRNA from 1 species